rnacentral:rRNA from 1 species
ACGGGGCCGCACAAGCGGUGGAGCAUGUGGUUUAAUUCGAUGCAACGCGAAGAACCUUACCUGGUCUUGACAUCCACAGAACUUUCCAGAGAUGGAUUGGUGCCUUCGGGAACUGUGAGACAGGUGCUGCAUGGCUGUCGUCAGCUCGUGUUGUGAAAUGUUGGGUUAAGUCCCGCAACGAGCGCAACCCUUAUCCUUUGUUGCCAGCGGUCCGGCCGGGAACUCAAAGGAGACUGCCAGUGAUAAACUGGAGGAAGGUGGGAUGACGUCAAGUCAUCAUGGCCCUUACGACCAGGGCUACACACGUGCUACAAUGGCGCAUACAAAGAGAAGCGACCUCGCGAGAGCAAGCGGACCUCAUAAAGUGCGUCGUAGUCCGGAUUGGAGUCUGCAACUCGACUCCAUGAAGUCGGAAUCGCUAGUAACCGCGAAUCAGCAGGUCGCGGUGAAUACGUUCCCGGGCCUU